rnacentral:rRNA from 1 species
CAGAGUGAACGCUGGCGGCAGGCCUAAUACAUGCAAGUCGAACGGCAGCACAGCAGAGCUUGCUCUGUGGGUGGCGAGUGGCGGACGGGUGAGGAAUACGUGGGAAUCUGCCCAGUCGUGGGGGAUAACGUAGGGAAACUUACGCUAAUACCGCAUGCGCCCUUCGGGGAAAGCCGGGGACCUUCGGGCCUGGCGCGAUUGGAUGAGCCCACGUCGGAUUAGCUAGUUGGCGGGUAAAGGCCCACCAAGGCGACGAUCCGUAGCUGGUCUGAGAGGAUGAUCAGCCACACUGGAACUGAGACACGGUCCAGACUCCUACGGGAGGCAGCAGUAGGGAAUAUUGGACAAUGGGCGCAAGCCUGAUCCAGCCAUGCCGCGUGAGUGAAGAAGGCCCUCGGGUUGUAAAGCUCUUUUGUCCGGAAAGAAAAGCGCCGGGUUAAUACCCUGGUGUCCUGACGGUACCGGAAGAAUAAGCACCGGCUAACUUCGUG